rnacentral:ncRNA from 1 species
AACCAAACUCUGAUUUAACGACGUUUCUUCUGAGUGACACAAGUAAUAAUCAAAACUUUUAACAACGGAUCUCUUGGUUCUGGCAUCGAUGAAGAACGCAGCGAAAUGCGAUAAGUAAUGUGAAUUGCAGAAUUCAGUGAAUCAUCGAAUCUUUGAACGCACAUUGCGCCCGCCAGCAUUCUGGCGGGCAUGCCUGUUCGAGCGUCAUUUCAACCCUCAAGCUCUGCUUGGUUUUGGGGCCCUACGGUUGACGUAGGCCCUUAAAGGUAGUGGCGGACCCUCUCGGAGCCUCCUUUGCGUAGUAACAUUUCGUCUCGCAUUGGGAUUCGGAGGGACUCUUGCCGUAAAACCCCCAAUUUUUCUAAGGUUGACCUCGGAUCAGGUAGGAAUACCCGCUGAACUUAAGCAUAUCAAA